rnacentral:rRNA from 1 species
GACGAACGCUGGCGGCGUGCCUAACACAUGCAAGUCGAACGAGGUCCAUCCUUCGGGAGAAGACCUAGUGGCGAACGGGUGAGUAACACGCGAGGAACCUGCCCCGAAGACCGGGAUAACCCUCCGAAAGGAGAGCUAAUACCGGAUACCCCCACCGAACCGCAUGGUUUGGUGAGGAAAUGGAUUCCGCUUCGGGAGGGCCUCGCGGCCUAUCAGCUAGUUGGUGGGGUAACGGCCCACCAAGGCAUCGACGGGUAGCUGGUCUGAGAGGACGAUCAGCCACACUGGGACUGAGACAUGGCCCAGACUCCUACGGGAGGCAGCAGUGGGGAAUCUUGCGCAAUGGGCGAAAGCCUGACGCAGCAACGCCGCGUGGGGAUGAAGGCUCUCGGGUUGUAAACCCCUUUCAGCAGGGACGAAUCAAGACGGUACCUGCAGAAGAAGCCCCGGCUAACUACGUGCCAGCAGCCG